rnacentral:lncRNA from 1 species
AUCCAAUACAAAGUAAAAACUUAGCCAACCAUUCUAAUUAUUAAAUUAUACAAGAAAUAAUAAAAAGACAUCACCCGUAUUAAAAAAGAAUAUGGAAGGAAGUGGAUCUUCAAUUAAAUCUUGAUUUUGAAUGGAUAAUCUUCAAAAAUUUUGCACAAUUCUGUUGUUAAUGAUCUAACCUCAUCCUUCACCUCCAAAAUAAACCAAAUAUUAAGACUCUUAUGUCUAAGGAGGUACCUCAUGUUUUGGAUAGCUUAUGAUAUAUAUAGAGUGUCGAAAGAUUGCAUAUCAAAAAUUUUCAAAAUAAAAUAAAGAAAUCCAAUUUUCCCCUAAAAUUAAACCAUGUGUACGCAUGGUUUAAAUUGAGUGUACACACAAUACACAAAAUUUGACCUCAAGUAAUGCUUUUUGUGACUUUGUGUGCACAAGGACGGUAGGCCCAUGAGUACGCAUAGUACUAAUUUUGAGGAUACAAAUUAGUCCCUAAACCCUCGCACUUGUGUAUUUUGAUCAUUUCAACAAUUUCUCCCAUUGACUUUUCAUCAACUCCAAUUGACUUUGCAUUUCGACACAACUUUUGAAUUAUUGCAUUUUAGUUCCCAUAGUUUUAAUUUCGUCAUUUUUUUCUCUAUUUUUCUUUUGUUUUCUUCAAUUCUUUAUUAGAUCAUGAGUUUUACUUAUUAGAUGCAACAUAACACAAAUUAGGCUAUAUUUCAUAAAAAAAAUUAAAAAAUAUCAUUAUUUAAAUCCCAAAUACACCAACGUAUGUUAUAGGACAUAUUGGACUGUUAUGGGCCAAAGGCCUUUUGGGUAAAUUGGUCGGGUUACCCUGCCAUUUGUCACUAAAUCAUCUACUAUCUAUUUCUAUAUCCACAAUGGUUUGGCCCAUUA